rnacentral:rRNA from 1 species
GCUGAGGAGCGAAAGCGUGGGUAGCGAACAGGAUUAGAUACCCCGGUAGUCCACGCCGUAAACGCUGGGUACUAGGUGUGUGGGCUCAUUUCUCGAGUUCUGUGCCGUAGAUAACGCAUUAAGUAUCCCGCCUGGGGAGUACGGCCGCACGGCUAUAACUCACAGGAAUUGACGCGGGCCCGCACAAGCGGCGGAGCACGUGGAUUAAUUCGAUGCAACGCGAAGAGCCUCACCUGGGUUUGACAUACACCACAUGCGGCUAGAGAUAGUCGUUCCCCUGUGGUUGGUGUACAGGUGGUGCAUGGCGGUGUUCAGCUCGUGUGUUGAGAUGUUGGGUUAAGUGUCGCACCGAGCGCAACCCUUUUCUUGUAUUGCCAGCGGGUUAUACCGGGGACUUGCACGAGACUGCCGGGGUCAACUCGGAGGAAGGUGGGGAGGAGGUCAAGUCUUCAUGCCCCUUAUGUCCAGGGCUUCACACACGUUACACUGGCCGGUACAGAGGGGUGCGAUACCGUGAGGUGGAGAGA